UUUUUACGUAAUUGGAAAUAACCAAUUAGGUUUACGACGAAACCUAGAAAUCGAUCACCGAUACAAUUUGAGUACCUCUGCAGCCUAUUCAACAUUAUUCUUAUACCUCCUCCAAACCACCCCUAAAAGAGACAGAAACAGUUGAGCUUCAGCUUGUGUAUGUUCUUCCUUUUGCUUUCAAAACAUAUGAGAUUUCUUUCUUUCAAAAUGACUCACCAUAUAUGCUUUGCAGGUGU
rnacentral:lncRNA from 1 species